rnacentral:rRNA from 1 species
AGAGUUUGAUCAUGGCUCAGAACGAACGCUGGCGGCGUGCUUAACACAUGCAAGUCGAACGGGAUCCAGAGCUUGCUCUGGUGAGAGUGGCGCACGGGUGAGUAACGCGUGGAUAACCUGCCCUGGUAUCUGGAAUAACAUCUCGAAAGGGGUGCUAAUACCGGAUAAGCCCACGGAGUCUUCGGACCCUGCGGGAAAAGGUGGCCUCUGAAUAUACUACCGUAUCAGGAUGGGUCCGCGUACCAUUAGCUAGUUGGUAGGGUAAUGGCCUACCAAGGCUACGAUGGUUAGCUGGUCUGAGAGGAUGAUCAGUCACACUGGAACUGAGACACGGUCCAGACUCCUACGGGAGGCAGCAGUGGGGAAUUUUGCGCAAUGGGGGAAACCCUGACGCAGCAACGCCGCGUGAGUGAUGAAGGCUUUCGGGUCGUAAAGCUCUGUCAGUAGGGAAGAAGUGUAAGGGUGCUAAUACCAUCUUUACUUGACGGUACCUACAAAGGAAGCACCGGCUAACUCCGUGCCAGCAGCCGCGGUAAUACGGAGGGUGCAAGCGUUGUUCGGAUUUAUUGGGCGUAAAGCGCGUGUAGGCGGUUUCUUAAGUCUGAUGUGAAAGCCCUGGGCUCAACCCAGGAAGUGCAUUGGAUACUGGGAGACUUGAAUACGGGAGAGGGUAGUGGAAUUCCUAGUGUAGGAGUGAAAUCCGUAGAUAUUAGGAGGAACACCGGUGGCGAAGGCGGCUACCUGGACCGAUAUUGACGCUGAGACGCGAAAGCGUGGGGAGCAAACAGGAUUAGAUACCCUGGUAGUCCACGCCGUAAACGAUGAGAACUAGGUGUUGCGGGUAUUGACCCCUGCAGUGCCGCAGCUAACGCAUUAAGUUCUCCGCCUGGGAAGUACGGUCGCAAGACUAAAACUCAAAGGAAUUGACGG